UUCCUAAAUGAUGAACACCUUUUUCAUAACCUUAUCUACAUUAUCUGAAAACAUCAGUGGAAGAAUAUUUGAAGUUCUGAUAGGAA